GUGAGGAAUUUUCCGCAAUGGGCGAAAGCCUGACGGAGCAAUGCCGCGUGAAGGAUGAAGGCCUAUGGGUUGUAAACUUCUUUUCUCAGAAAAGAAUUUGACGGUAUCUGAGGAAUAAGCAUCGGCUAACUCUGUGCCAGCAGCCGCGGUAAGACAGAGGAUGCAAGCGUUAUCCGGAAUGAUUGGGCGUAAAGCGUCUGUAGGUUGUUUAAAAAGUAUUCUGUCAAAGAUUAGGGCUUAACCCUAGAUAGGCAGAAUAAACUUUUAAGCUAGAGUUUGGUAGAGGCAGAGGGAAUUCCCGGUGGAGCGGUGAAAUGCGUAGAUAUCGGGAGGAACACCAAAGGCGAAGGCACUCUGCUGGGCCAAUACUAACACUGAGAGACGAAAGCGAGGGGAGCAAAUGGGAUUAGAUACCCCGGUAGUCC
rnacentral:rRNA from 1 species